AUUGAACGCUGGCGGCAGGCCUAACACAUGCAAGUCGAGCGAGCGGCGGACGGGUGAGUCAUGUCUGGGAAACUGCCUGAUGGAGGGGGAUAACUACUGCAGACGGUAGCUCCUCACGCAUACCAUAGGAUGUGGCCAGAUGGGGUUAGCUGGUAGGUGGGGUAACGGCGCACCUAGGCGACGAUCCCUAGCUGGUCUGAGAGGAUGACCAGCCACACUGGAACUGAGACACGGUCCAGACUCCUACGGGAGGCAGCAGUGGGGAAUAUUGCACAAUGGGCGCAAGCCUGAUGCAGCCAUGCCGCGUGUGUGAAGAAGGCCUUCGGGUUGUAAAGCACUUUCAGCGGGGAGGCGUUACCCGCAGAAGAAGCACCGGCUAACUCCGUGCCAGCAGCCGCGGUAAUAC
rnacentral:rRNA from 1 species